rnacentral:rRNA from 1 species
GCGCUGUGGGAUGAACCAAACGUCGAGUUAAGGGGCCUAAAUGAAUGCUCAUACAGAUCCCACGAAAGGUGUUGGUUGCUAUAGACAGCAGGACGGUGGCCAUGGAAGUUGGAAUCCGCUAAGGAGUGUGUAACAACUCACCUGCCGAAGCAACUAGCCCUUAAAAUGGUAUGGCGCUAAAGCAUUCUCCCGAUACUCGACCGCCGGUGGCACAACAGGCCUAGCCAUGCAGGUCUUGAAGCCCCGGUGAGUAGGAGGGCCGCGGUGGUGAGCGCUGAAGGGUGCGGCGUGAGCCGGCCUGGAGCCGCCACUGGCGCAGAUCUUGGUGGUAGUAGCAAAUAGUCGAGAGAGACUCUACCUGGAAGACCGAUGUGGGGCAGGGUUCCAUGUGAACAUCACUUGGACAUGGGUUAGUCG